GCCAGUGUGGCUAAGUGGUAAGAGCAUUGGCCCUUGCACCAAAGGGUCAUGGGUUCAAUUCCUGUUCAAGGGUA
rnacentral:tRNA from 1 species